AUGACAACGUCAAGUACCAAAAUGUAUACACAUUUUAUCAUGUCCAAAUUACAUUCCAAUUCCAUUACAAAAUCACAAAAUCAUCAUCCAAACUCUAUUACAAAAUGCACAAGAAACAUCACAAAGUCAUUACAAACAAAGGACUUCACAUUAAAAGUCAUAAAAAUAUUCCUAAAUAUAAUUCUUCAAUCAUCUUCAUGCCUUAAAAAUCAGUGA